GCCGGGUGUGGUGGUGCGUGCCUGUAAUCCCAGCUACUCAGGAGGCUGAGGCAGGAGAAUCACUUGAACUCGGGAGGCAGGGGUUGCAGUGAGCCGAGAUCAUGCCACUGCACUCUGGCCUGGGUGACAGAGUGAGACUCUGUCUCAG
rnacentral:SRP_RNA from 1 species